UACGGAAUCCUGGACAAUGCACGGCAGUGUGAUCUGGUAAUAUUUCUCAAGUGAAGAAUGUCUAGCAGACUGUAAAGCUUUUUUAUUCAUGCAAAAUUAUGACACGAGUGUGAAAGAAAAAGUCCUGGCCAACUCUGUGCCAGCAGCCGCGGUAAGACAGGGGGGGCAAGCGUUACUCGUCAUGACUGGGCGUAAAGGGUGAGUAGGCAGUUAGGGAGUUUAAUAAACAGUAAAACCUGGGGUAGAUCUCAGAAAUUGUUUUUAUUCAUUGACUGGACUUGAGUUUUUUGUGGAGCUGUUAGAAUUUUUAAUGGAGUAGUAAAAUGCGAAGAUAUUAAAAGGAAUGCCAAGAGUGAAGACAUGCAGCUACGAUAAACUGACGCCGAGGCACGAAAGCGUAGGUAGCAAACG
rnacentral:rRNA from 1 species